rnacentral:rRNA from 1 species
GCAAACGGUAGGCUACACAUGCAGUCGACGGCAGCACAGGAGAGCUUGCUCUCUGGGUGGCGAGUGGCGGACGGGUGAGGAAUACAUCGGAAUCUACUUUUUCGUGGGGGAUAACGUAGGGAAACUUACGCUAAUACCGCAUACGACCUACGGGUGAAAGCAGGGGACCUUCGGGCCUUGCGCGAUUGAAUGAGCCGAUGUCGGAUUAGCUAGUUGGCGGGGUAAAGGCCCACCAAGGCGACGAUCCGUAGCUGGUCUGAGAGGAUGAUCAGCCACACUGGAACUGAGACACGGUCCAGACUCCUACGGGAGGCAGCAGUGGGGAAUAUUGGACAAUGGGCGCAAGCCUGAUCCAGCCAUACCGCGUGGGUGAAGAAGGCCUUCGGGUUGUAAAGCCCUUUUGUUGGGAAAGAAAUCCAGCUGGCUAAUACCCGGUUGGGAUGACGGUACCCAAAGAAUAAGCACCGGCUAACUUCGUGCCAGCAGCCGCGGUAAUACGAAGGGUGCAAGCGUUACUCGGAAUUACUGGGCGUAAAGCGUGCGUAGGUGGUCGUUUAAGUCCGUUGUGAAAGCCCUGGGCUCAACCUGGGAACUGCAGUGGAUACUGGGCGACUAGAAUGUGGUAGAGGGUAGCGGAAUUCCUGGUGUAGCAGUGAAAUGCGUAGAGAUCAGGAGGAACAUCCAUGGCGAAGGCAGCUACCUGGACCAACAUUGACACUGAGGCACGAAAGCGUGGGGGAGCAAACAGGAUUAGAUACCCUGGUAGUCCACGCC